rnacentral:rRNA from 1 species
AGCGAACGCUGGCGGCAGGCUUAACACGUGCAAGUCGAGCGGGCACUUUCGGGUGUCAGCGGCGGACGGGUGCGUAACGCGUGGGAACGUGCCCUCUGGUUCGGAAUAACUCAGGGAAACUUGAGCUAAUACCGGAUACGCCCUUUUGGGGAAAGGCUUGCUGCCGGAGGAUCGGCCCGCGUCUGAUUAGCUAGUUGGUGAGGUAACGGCUCACCAAGGCGACGAUCAGUAGCUGGUCUGAGAGGAUGAUCAGCCACACUGGGACUGAGACACGGCCCAGACUCCUACGGGAAGCAGCAGUGGGGAAUAUUGGACAAUGGGCGCAAGCCUGAUCCAGCCAUGCCGCGUGAGUGAUGAAGGCCUUAGGGUUGUAAAGCUCUUUUAUCCGGGACGAUAAUGACGGUACCGGAGGAAUAAGCCCCGGCUAACUUCGUG